rnacentral:rRNA from 1 species
UUGGAGGGCAAGUCUGGUGCCAGCAGCCGCGGUAAUUCCAGCUCCAAUAGCGUAUAUUAAAGUUGUUGCAGUUAAAAAGCUCGUAGUUGAAUUUCGGAAUCUGUCCGUCGGUCGGGCUUCACUGUCCGUACUGGUGUGAUGGGUUUCUACCUUCUGAAUAACCGGCAUGUCAUUAAUUUGGUGCGCCGGGGAAGCAGAACUAUUACCUUGAAAAAAUUAGAGUGCUUAAAGCAGGCUAUCGCCUGAAUAGAUUAGCAUGGAAUAAUAAAAUAGGACGGCAUGGUUCUAUUUUGUUGGUUUCUAGGAUCACCGUAAUGAUUAAUAGGGAUAGUUGGGGGCAUUAGUAUUCAAUUGUCAGAGGUGAAAUUCUUGGAUUUAUUGAAGACUAACUUCUGCGAAAGCAUUUGCCAAGGAUGUUUUCAUUAAUCAAGAACGAAAGUUAGGGGAUCGAAGACGAUCAGAUACCGUCGUAGUCUUAACCAUAAACUAUGCCGACUAGGGAUCGGACGAUGUUAAUUUUUAAUGACUCGUUACGGCGCCUUAC